rnacentral:rRNA from 1 species
CCUACGGGGGGCUGCAGUGAGGAAUAUUGGUCAAUGGACGAGAGUCUGAACCAGCCAAGUAGCGUGAAGGAUGACUGCCCUAUGGGUUGUAAACUUCUUUUAUAAAGGAAUAAAACGAGGCACGUGUGCCUUUUUGCAUGUACUUUAUGAAUAAGGAUCGGCUAACUCCGUGCCAGCCGCCGCGGUAAUGCGGAGGAUCCGAGCGUUAUCCGGAUUUAUUGGGUUUAAAGGGAGCGUAGAUGGGUUGUUAAGUCAGGUGUGAAAGUUUGCGGCUCAACCGUAAAAUUGCAAUUGAUACUGGCAGUCUUGAGUACAGUUGAGGUAGGCGGAAUUCGUGGUGUAGCGGUGAAAUGCUUAGAUAUCACGAAGAACCCCGAUUGCGAAGGCAGCUUACUAGACUGUGACUGACAUUGAUGCUCGAAAGUGUGGGUAUCAAACAGGAUUAGAUACCCGUGUAGUC